rnacentral:rRNA from 1 species
AGAGUUUGAUCCUGGCUCAGGAUGAACGCUGGCGGCGUGCUUAACACAUGCAAGUCGAGCGAAGCACUUUAGUUGAUCCUUCGGGGUGAUUCUAUUGUGACUGAGCGGCGGACGGGUGAGUAACGCGUGGGUAACCUGCCUCAUACAGGGGGAUAACAGUUGGAAACGACUGCUAAUACCGCAUAAGCGCACAGCAUCGCAUGAUGCAGUGUGAAAAACUCCGGUGGUAUGAGAUGGACCCGCGUUAGAUUAGCUGGUUGGUGGGGUAACGGCCUACCAAGGCGACGAUCUAUAGCCGGACUGAGAGGUCGAACGGCCACAUUGGGACUGAGACACGGCCCAAACUCCUACGGGAGGCAGCAGUGGGGAAUAUUGCACAAUGGGGGAAACCCUGAUGCAGCGGCGCCGCGUGAGCGAAGAAGUAUUUCGGUAUGUAAAGCUCUAUCAGCAGGGAAGAAAAUGACGGUACCUGACUAAGAAGCCCCGGCUAACUACGUGCCAGCAGCCGCGGUAAUACGUAGGGGGCAAGCGUUAUCCGGAUUUACUGGGUGUAAAGGGAGCGUAGACGGCAAGGUAAGUCUGAAGUGAAAUGCCGGGGCUCAACCCCGGAACUGCUUUGGAAACUAUCUCGCUCGAGUACCGGAGGGGUAAGCGGAAUUCCUAGUGUAGCGGUGAAAUGCGUAGAUAUUAGGAGGAACACCAGUGGCGAAGGCGGCUUACUGGACGGUAACUGACGUUGAGGCUCGAAAGCGUGGGGAGCAAACAGGAUUAGAUACCCUGGUAGUCCACGCCGUAAACGAUG